rnacentral:rRNA from 1 species
UACGUAGGGGGCAAGCGUUGUCCGGAUUUAUUGGGCGUAAAGAGCGUGUAGGCGGCCAGGUAGGUCUGCUGUGAAAACUCGAGGCUUAACCUCGAGCUGUCGGCGGAAACCAUCUGGCUAGAGUCCGGAAGAGGAGAAUGGAAUUCCCGGUGUAGCGGUGAAAUGCGCAGAUAUCAGGAAGAACACCAAUGGCGAAAGGCAGCUCUCUGGGACGGUACUGACGCUGAGACGCGAAAGCGUGGGGAGCGAACAGG